rnacentral:piRNA from 1 species
UGCUCACUGUCAGAAAGCCUUCGUUCUCC